GAUGAACGCUGGCGGCGUGCCUAAUACAUGCAAGUCGAGCGAACAGACGAGGAGCUUGCGCCUCUGACGUUAGCGGCGGACGGGUGAGUAACACGUGUAUAACCUACCUAUAAGACUGGGAUAACUUCGGGAAACCGGAGCUAAUACCGGAUAAUAUAUUGAACCGCAUGGUUCAAUAGUGAAAGACGGUUUUGCUGUCACUUAUAGAUGGAUCCGCGCCGCAUUAGCUAGUUGGUAAGGUAACGGCUUACCAAGGCGACGAGGCGUAGCCGAACUGAGAGGGUGAUCGGCCACCCUGGAACGGAGACACGGUCCAGGCGCCUACGGGAGGCAGCAGUAGGGAAUCUGCCGCAAUGGGCGAGAGCCUGACGGAGCAACGCGGCGUGAGUGACGAAGGUCUUCGGAUCGUAAAACCCGGUUAUUAGGUAAGAACAAAUGUGUAAGGAACUAUGCACGUCUUGACGGUAACUAAUCAGAAAGCCACGGCUAACUACGUG
rnacentral:rRNA from 1 species